UACGUAGGUGGCAAGCGUUAUCCGGAAUUAUUGGGCGUAAAGCGCGCGUAGGCGGUUUUUUAAGUCUGAUGUGAAAGCCCACGGCUCAACCGUGGAGGGUCAUUGGAAACUGGAAAACUUGAGUGCAGAAGAGGAAAGUGGAAUUCCAUGUGUAGCGGUGAAAUGCGCAGAGAUAUGGAGGAACACCAGUGGCGAAGGCGACUUUCUGGUCUGUAACUGACGCUGAUGUGCGAAAGCGUGGGG
rnacentral:rRNA from 1 species